CACGUAGGGGCCAAGCGUUGUCCGGAUUUAUUGGGCGUAAAGAGCUCGUAGGCGGCUCGGUAAGUCAGGUGUGAAACCUCCAGGCUCAACCUGGAGACGCCACCUGAUACUGCUGUGGCUAGAGUCCGGUAGGGGGAGCGUGGAAUUCCUGGUGUAGCGGUGAAAUGCGCAGAUAUCAGGAGGAACACCAGCGGCGAAGGCGGCGCUCUGGGCCGGAACUGACGCUGAGGAGCGAAAGCGUGGGUAGCAAACAGG
rnacentral:rRNA from 1 species